rnacentral:rRNA from 1 species
AUGGCUCCGCGCGCAUUGCUCUACCCGGGCCUCCUCUGCCUCGCCGUGCUGGCCAGCGGCGCCGCCGCCGCCGCCGCGUCUCACUCGCAGUGCACCGACAACCCGCCGGACCUCACGGCCGGCGGCAACGAGACCGGCGCGGCCGUCGACGACCUGGCCGGCUUCAAGGCCUACGUUACCGGCGCCGCCCACUCCCACAGGGCCGUCGUCCUGGCCUCCGAUUUCUACGGAUUCGAAGCGCCAUUGUUGAGGAAAAUUGCCGACAAAGUCGGUGAAGCUGGAUACUAUGUUGUGGUGCCCGACUUCUUCAAUGGACAACCUUACACGGAAGGCGCAAACAGAACAGAAUGGUUCCUGGCUCACUCUCCGGUAAAAGCAGCUCAAGAUGCAAAACCCAUCUUCGCGGCAUUGAAGAAGGAAAAGAAGUCUUUUGUUGGAGUUGGGGGCUAUUGUUGGGGCGGGAAAUUCGCUGUGGAGGUGGCGAAAACAAACGAGGUGGAAGCAAUUGUCAUCUCCCAUCCUUCAGCAGUCACCACCGACGAUAUGAAAGUGAUCAAGUGCCCCAUUGAGAUUCUUGGAGCUCAGAAUGACGCUGUUACACCGCCAGCAUUAGUAGAUCAGCUUGUUGAGACCUUGCAUCAAAACAAUCAGAUUUACUAUGCAAAUAUCUUUCCAGAAGUUGCCCAUGGCUUUGCUUGCAGAUACAAUGUUACCAACCCUUUCGCCGUCAAGACCGCUGAACAAGCUCUUGGGUUAAUGCUCGGCUGGUUCCACAAAUACCUGAAAUGA